CUCUCUCUCUCUCUCUCUCUCUCUCUCUCUCUCUCUCUCUCUCUCUCUCUCUCUCUCUCUCUCUUCUUUUUUCUUCCAGGGAAACAAAUGUCUCCAGCUACUUUUUUGACGCACAGUCCUCAGCCAAUGGCAGCAAGAGGGCGACUGACAACAUCCCCAUCCCACCGUAGAGACACCACCGAUAAUAAACGAACGGUGCGCCGGUGGAUGGUGAGAAGUGGAGUUUAAAGCAAGGAAAAGUCACUUUAUUUCUAUUUUAUUGCAAUUUUACAUCAGACAUCGCUUUCAUCCAGUGGAGGAUUAGACAUCUUUAAUAUAAAGGCUGGUGCAAAGGGAAUAUAACCGAAAAUAAAGAGUUUAGUAGAAGUAUAAUUGCACGUACUGUAUAUUAGUGGCACACUUUAUAAAAAAAUUAACACCCCCCCCCCCCAUUCAUCUUUUAUUUUAACACAUCUCCAAAUGCUUUAAAAAAUAUCGGAUACAUCGAAUUAAAUUCUUUAAAAAAAGUUCAAGGAAAAUAUCAAAACAUUCCAAACAAACAAACCAAAAAAAAUAAAAAAUUACUCCGGGAGGUAUCCCAAUAUGAAAAUCGUGCUGUCAAAAAGAAAAAAAAGCAGAAAUAAAUCAGUGAGAAGCGAGAAGAAAGGGGGAAAAAACCGGGGGACUAAAGCUCUCCAUGUGAAGGCUGCACCGUCCUCUCACAUUCCAGCGCGUCGCAAAAAAGGGGAUUUAGAGCGACUUAUUUCCUUAAAACUGUCCUCCCAACCACACAGGCAGCCAGUCUGCUGCCAUCAGCCUCGUACAGGCCCAGCUGCACCCAAACCCACACGCACGAUUUCCAGGUGGAGCAGCCGGUGCACUGAGAGGCACCUGCACUGUACAUCCAGGAUAAUAACAAUAAGAGAAAAGCUGAAAUGAAGAUGUGAAAGAAGAUAAGAGACUUCUUGAAAUGAAGAGCCGAGCUGAUGUGAUGGCACCAGAGGAAAACUUUGUCUGGGGGAGGACACAUGUGAGGAGUUUGCCAACAAACAGAUGCAAUUAAAUACACUGAGAUCAUCUACAAGGAGGGAAAGUCAAGACCGGUGGGAAGGCGACAAGGACGAAUAAGGCGAGAGAAGACCUUUCUAACUCAAGGUUGACACUGAUUGAAUGAGCGUCACACGAUCUGGAUCAUUUUUCCACAAAGAAACAUCACUCACUGGUUUUUCUAUCACAUGUGCUCUUUGUAGAACUUCUCCCAACUGUUUUGUUUUUGUGUCAUCACUGAAAUGUUAAGUUAAUUUUUGGUCACAUUUCUCUUGUCAUCCAAUGUAUUGUGCUUCAUUAAAGAUCAAUUUGCAAAUAAAGACAUUUCUGUUGCUCUA